CACCCACAGAUAUAGAGGAUACUGCUCAGACCCCUCUGGAGGACAGAUUUGAAUUUUGAAAUACAUAUGACUUCAAGGGUUUUGGAUAAAAGACUGUGGACCUGUAUAUAAAAAACACUUAGAACAAGAUAAGAAUUUAGGAAGUGCUCAA